ACGAACGCUGGCGGCAUGCCUAACACAUGCACGUCGAACGAGACCUUCGGGUCUAGUGGCGCACGGGUGCGUAACGCGUGGGAACCUGCCCUUAGGUUCGGAAUAACUCCCCGAAAGGGGUGCUAAUACCGGAUAAUGUCUUCGGACCAAAGAUUUAUCGCCUUUGGAUGGGCCCGCGUUGGAUUAGCUAGUUGGUAGGGUAAAAGCCUACCAAGGCGACGAUCCAUAGCUGGUCUGAGAGGAUGAUCAGCCACACUGGGACUGAGACACGGCCCAGACUCCUACGGGAGGCAGCAGUGGGGAAUAUUGGACAAUGGGCGAAAGCCUGAUCCAGCAAUGCCGCGUGAGUGAUGAAGGCCUUAGGGUUGUAAAGCUCUUUUACCCGGGAUGAUAAUGACAGUACCGGGAGAAUAGGCUCCGGCUAACUCCGUG
rnacentral:rRNA from 1 species